AAUGAACGCUGGCGGCGUGCUUAACACAUGCAAGUCGGACGAGAAAGGCUAAUUCGGUUGGCCGAGUAAAGUGGCGCACGGGUGAGUAACGCGUAGGCAACCUACCCUUGUAUUGGGGAUAACCCUGCGAAAGUGGGGCUAAUACCGGAUGAGACCCUAUUCUGGAGGGGAUAGGGUGAAAGUCGGCCGCUCGGAGAAGCUGACGUACGAGGAUGGGCCUGCGUCCUAUCAGCUGGUUGGUGGGGUAGCGGCCUACCAAGGCGACGACGGGUAGCUGGUCUGAGAGGAUGAUCAGCCACACUGGCACUGGAACACGGGCCAGACUCCUACGGGAGGCAGCAGUGAGGAAUUUUGCGCAAUGGCCGCAAGGCUGACGCAGCAACGCCGCGUGGGUGAUGAAGGCCUUCGGGUCGUAAAGCCCUGUCAGGUGGGAAGAAAGGCCUUAAGGAGAAACGCUUGAGGUUUGACGGUACCACCAGAGGAAGCACCGGCUAACUCCGUG
rnacentral:rRNA from 1 species